GACGAACGCUGGCGGCGUGCUUAACACAUGCAAGUCGUACGGUAAGGCCCUUUCGGGGGUACACGAGUGGCGAACGGGUGAGUAACACGUGAGUAACCUGCCCACAACUUUGGGAUAACGCUAGGAAACUGGUGCUAAUACUGGAUAUGUGCUCCUGCUGCAUGGUGGGGGUUGGAAAGCUCCGGCGGUUGUGGAUGGACUCGCGGCCUAUCAGCUUGUUGGUAGGGUAGUGGCCUACCAAGGCGGCGACGGGUAGCCGGCCUGAGAGGGUGACCGGCCACAUUGGGACUGAGAUACGGCCCAGACUCCUACGGGAGGCAGCAGUGGGGAAUAUUGCACAAUGGGCGCAAGCCUGAUGCAGCAACGCCGCGGGCGGGAUGACGGCCUUCGGGUUGGAAACCGCUUUCAGCAGGGACGAAGCUUUUUGUGACGGUACCUGCAGAAGAAGCACCGGCUAACUACGUG
rnacentral:rRNA from 1 species